CAUGUCUUUUUGAUUAUAAUUUAAAGUCUAGCCUGCCCUAUGAAUAUUUAAAUGGCCGCAGUAUUUUGACUGUGCAAAGGUAGCAUAAUAAUUAGUUUUUUAAUUGAGAACUGGUAUGAAUGGUUGGACGAGAAAAAUACUGUCUCAGUUUAAUUUUAAUUAGAAUUUUAUUUUUAAGUUAAAAAGCUUAAAUGUACUUAAAAGACGAGAAGACCCUAUAGAGUUUUAUAUUGUUUUAUAUUUUAAAAAAUUUAAGUAUAUAAUAAUUUAAUUAUAUAAAAUUAGUAUUUAAUUGGGGUGAUUAAAAAAUUUAAUAAACUUUUUUUAUGUUAUUACAUUGAUAUAUGAGUAAAUGAUCCAUAUUUUAUGAUUACAAGAUUAAAUUACCUUAGGGAUAACAGCGUAAUUUUUUUUGAGAGUUCUUAUCGAA
rnacentral:rRNA from 1 species